CGGUUAAAAAGCUCGUAGUUGGAUCUCGGCAAGUAGAGGGCGGUAUGCUUCGUAGCAUUACUGCCCUAUUACUUGUAGUUUUGCCAGAGGUUCCUGGGUGCUCUUAAUCGAGUGUCUAGGGAUGCUGGCAGGUUUACUUUGAAAAAAUUAGAGUGCUCAAAGCAGGCUAUUACGCUUGAAUAUUCGUGCAUGGAAUAAUAGAAUAGGAAGUUGUUUCUAUUUUGUUGGUUUUCGGAAAUCGACUUAAUGAUUAAUAGGGACAGUCGGGGGCAUUUGUAUUCAAACGACAGAGGUGAAAUUCUUGGACCGUUUGAAGACAAACUACUGCGAAAGCAUUUGCCAAGAAUGUUUUCAUUAAUCAAGAACGAAAGUUAGAGGUUCGAAGGCGAUUAGAUACCGCCCUAGUUCUAACCAUAAACGAUGCCAGCUAGCGAUCUGAGGACGUUUUUUUUGUAGACUCCUCAGGAAGCUUCCGGGAAACCAAAGCGUGUGGGUUCCGGGGGAAGUAUGGUUGCAAAGCUGAAACUUAAAGGAAUUGACGGAAGGGCACCACCAGGAGUGGAGCCUGCGGCUUAAUUUGACUCAACACGGGAAAUCUCACCAGGCCCGGACACUGGAAGGAUUGACAGAUUGAGAGCUCUUUCUCGAUUCGGUGGGUGGUGGUGCAUGGCCC
rnacentral:rRNA from 1 species